rnacentral:rRNA from 1 species
UACGAGGGGGGCAAGCGUUGUUCGGAAUUAUUGGGCGUAAAGAGCUCGUAGGCGGCUCAGUAAGUCGGGUGUGAAACCUCCAGGCUCAACCUGGAGACGCCACCUGAUACUGCGGUGACUGGAGUCUGGUAGGGGAACACGGAAUUCCUGGUGUAGCGGUGAAAUGCGCAGAUAUCAGGAGGAACACCGAUGGCGAAGGCAGUGUUCUGGGCCAGUACUGACGCUGAGGAGCGAAAGCGUGGGGAGCAAACAGG